rnacentral:lncRNA from 1 species
UUAAAGAGAAGUAAGGAAUAUUCAAAAAAUAUCAUGACAAAUUUUCACCCAGGUAAAGGAGGAAAGCUCAUUCAUAAAAUAGAAAUUAGAAACAAGUCUCAUGCAACAAAAAUGUUUCUUAUUGAUUUCUUCUCAUUUGUACUAUACCAUGAAUAUUUGAGAAGAAAAAAUGUAAAGACAUCCUUGUUAGAAAUGCAUAUAAUAAUAAUAUCUCCUGAUAUACAGUGUGUAUCUUUUCUACUUCAAAUUUUAAUCAAGGAUGUUUAAAUCUUCCAAAAAAAUUACCAACCAGUGAAAGUUGUCUAAAUAGUAUUCAAAAUUUCUUUUUGCAAACUUAGUUUUCAAGCCAAAUUUUGACAAAGUGAAAUCCUUUAGGUCAGUAACCUAUUAAGAAUGAGAGCGACUGUUACAAGAUUUUAUGAUGUGGCAAUACUUGAUGUCCAGAAACUAACAUAUUAAUAAACUAGAGGCUCUUAAGAGCUUGUGUCACUCACCUUGGUCUAUGUGCAUAUUAAACAAAAGACACAGAUGGAUUAAUGACAAAAUUGUGUUUUGGUGAUGAUGAUGUGUUUGUAGAUCUUACUUUACUGAACAUUCUUGCUACUUACAAAUAUCUCUAUCUAUAGUGAACUUGGCCCAUUAGUUACAGAAGAAAAUAUUUUGUUAAAAUUUACAAAAAUUUACAAAAUUUAUGAAAAUUGUUAAAAAUUGACUGUAAAGGGCAAUUACUCCUUAAGGGGUCAACUGACCAUUUUGGUCAUGCUGACUUAUUUGUAGAUCUUAUUUUGCUAAACAUUAUUACUGUUUACAGUUUAUCUCUAUCUAUAAUAAUAUUCAAGAUAAUAACCCAAAACUGCAAAAUUUCCUUAAAAAUUACCAUUUCAGGACAGCCACCCAACAACCGGUUGUCCAAUUCAUCUGAAAAUUUUCGGACAGAUAGAUCUUGAUCUGAUAAACAAAUACACCCCCAUGUCAGAUUUGCUCUAAAUGCCUUGGUUUCAGAGUUAAAAGCCAAAAUCUACAUUUUACCCCUAUGUUCUAUUUUUAGCUAUGGUGGCCAUCUUGGUUGGUUGACCGCGUCACGGCACAAAUUUUUCAACUAGAUACCUCAAUGAUGAUUGUGGCCAAGUAUGGUUAAAUUUGGCCCAUUAGUUUCAGAGGAGAAGAUUUUUGUAAAGAUUACAAAACUUUACGAAAAAUUGGUAAAAAAUGACUAUAAUUGACCAUUUUGGUCAUGUUGACUUAUUUGUAGAUUUUACUUUGCUGAACAUUAUUGCUGAUUACAGUUUAUCUCUAUCUAUAAUAAUAUUCAAGAUAUUAACAAAAAACAGCAAAAUUUCCUUAAAAUUGCCAAUUCAGGGGCAGCGACCCAACAACCGGUUGUCUGAUUCGUCGACGAUGAGGGACGACGGACACCAAGUGAUGAGAAAAGCUCACUUGGCCUUUUAGGCCAGGUGAGCUCAAAAACAGUAAAUGUAUAAAUCAAAUAUGCAGUACUUAUGAAACUAACAUAUUAAUCAUAUAUAACAGUUGUUCCAAACAUGUAAAUUUAAUCACCGAUCACAGUUAAUUUUGUUUAAUUCGUGGAAAGAAUAUGCA